CCCGUUGUGCGACCAAAGGUAGCCUAUGAAGACAUGCUUCACUGGUAACGGUGGGGUAUGAAGCUCUUCUGACAAUGUAGCCCCCAGUAUGGGUGCCUUUGGGCCGCGAGGCUGGAGGCAGUAGCUCGGAGUCGUACCGGGUCGAGGCG
rnacentral:ncRNA from 1 species